rnacentral:rRNA from 1 species
GACAGAGGGGGCGAACGUUGUCCGGAGUCACUGGGCGUAAAGCGCGCUCAGGCGGCAACCUAAGUGUCGUGUGAAAGCCCCCGGCUCAACCGGGGGAGGCCAUGGCAAACUGGGUCGCUCGAGCUGCGGAGAGGCCCCUCGAAUUGCCGGUGUAGCGGUGAAAUGCGUAGAGAUCGGCAGGAAGACCAAUGGGGAAGCCAGCGGGCGGGCCGAAGGCUGACGCUGAGGCGCGACAGCGUGGGGAGCAAACCGG